UAGUCUACCUGGUCGGUCUGAUGGCUUAAACAACAGGAGCUCAUUUUAUCACAGUCUGGAGGAUAGAAGACCAAGAUCAAGAUGCUAGCAGUGAGGAGGCAUAGCUCUGAGAAGGGAACACAAAAGUUCUGUGGGCAAACCUCACCGCCAACCCAUUGGCCGAGAACACCCACCGCUGAGGAGAGAAAAUCUGGGAGGAUCCACGGAGUUGGAAUUUCUGAAAGUCAAAAGGAUGGGAAAGGAGAGCAAGAGAGGGGAGAAGCCCGGGAGCCAUAACAGGCAGAAACUGGGAAGAGAUAAAGCUUUCAAAAUUGACUGGGGCCUCAAGACAGUGUUAACAACAUCAUGCACAUUGCCUUCAUUUCAUGACCCUGCUCGAAUGUGUAUUGUACCAAUUCAUUCAUUCGUUCAUUCACCCAUUUAAGAGGUAGUGCCUGAACCCUCUGUAUGCCACUGACAUUGUUCUAGUUACCAACAGUGCAAGGAUGAGUCAGAAGGACAAGGAAGUCUCUUAGACCCUAACUGAUGGUGGAUAGGUGAGAUCUGUGAAAGCAGACAUAAUUACACCAUGGACUUGUCUCAAGAGCUCUAUGAGGGAUAGGCUAUUUCCCUCAUUUUAGAGAUACAGGCAAAAUCUCAGGAAAGUUAUAUACAUUCUCAGAUAUUCCAUUGUGUGCAUAGCCAAACCAAGGUUUCAACCCAGUUUAGCCCAGUGUUCAAAAAUUUUUCGUCUUCAUUAUUACAGAGGAAAUGUGGGAGGAGUGAAGUCUGAAUUCCAGCUCUGUGGGUCCUAGGAGACCUGAGGGGCCUUGGGGAUGUGUAUUAGGAGCUGUCAGUCAAAAUAUAUGGAACACCAGACAGCAUUGGGCCUCCUUUUGCUUGGGGCUGCCCUAGGAUAUCUAUCAACUGAGGUUGGAAGGAACCGUCUGGCUACUUACAGCCUGACUUUGUUUUCCCUUUGAGUGGGUUCUUCAAAUAUCUCAUAAUGUGUUUUCACCAAUUAAUAAAUUGAUCCAUAUUGCUUCAAUGUUUGCAAAGCAUCCACAUUCAAUAACUCUAUGAGGUUGGCAUGGGAUGGGUUAUCACCCCUAGUGGACAUAUCAGGGAGUAGGGCUCAGAGAUGUCAACCUAUUGAAAACUACAACUGGGAAGCAGCAAAGAGCAGAACUGCACCCUAGGUCUUCUGACUUUGCUAUGCCUAAGAUGUCUCAGCCCCCAUGAACAAUGGAAGCUGGAUAGAGUUGUAAAGGUCCUCUUCCUCAUUUUAUAGAUGAGGAUGCUAGAAAGGCUAAGUUCCUAGGCCAAGGGCACCAGCUGGCCCAUACCAACAUUCUUUCCCCGACAAGGAGCCACCUCCCAUUAAUCUUGGGUAGGCCUGUUCUAACUGCUAUUCAGGUCUCUGUCCCUAAGAAGCAAAUCAGAAUAUUCAUGAAACCUUUGGAAAUCAUUUCAAGGUCAAACACAAGGAGAUAUGUAAGUGGGUGUGGAGAUCUCAGAGGAAGAAAGUGAAGUCUAAGCAUAAUCUCUGCAGGGUGAACGUCCUCAGGCUCUAUAGGAAGCAGAGCCCUUACAAAGGACGGGAGGUUUCCUUGAACAACCAAAAGAGAAGAUCUUUACUUUCCCAGAGACGAAGGAUAAGGUCAAAUUUCGUCCUCUGCUGCCCAUAGAUCUUAUCUGGGUGGGAUUGUAUCAAAUAAAUAAUGUAUCAGAAGAUUCCUCCCCUGUUACAUUAGCCCCAUCAGGAGCCAGAGCACAGCCUGGGUGUGUGAUAAGUGGUAAUAAAUGGCAGUGCUUGUCGGUGGAAAUUUUUCUGGCAAAUUUCCGAACCAGAUUAAAAAGUAAAUUAGAUUUCUUCUGAAGAGUUAUUUUCAAGGGUUUUUAUCCACUGACGUGUGUAUGCAAGAUUGCAGCUUUGCCAAAGGGGAGAGAACAAAGCUAGAAAAAAAAUAAAAAUAAAAUAAAAAUCAGCACGCAAUUAUCUGUCUGAACAAGGCUAUUGCUGGGAAGGCACCUAAUCAGAGAUGUCUCAAAUUUGCUUAAAAUACAAUGUGCAAUAUAAAAUGUAUUUAUAAUGUGCCUCUUAUGCUCCAAUAAAAUUGUUACCAGGACCAGACAAUUGCAGGAGACAGAGGUUGUAAAAUGGAAUGGAUAGAAUCAAAUCAGUUAUUAAUAAUAGCUGAAUAAAAUACAGCUUUGUGGAUGGG
ensembl:lincRNA